rnacentral:rRNA from 1 species
GAGCUAGUAGAGUGGAAACGGGUGAGUAACGCGUGGGUAACGUACCCUGAUCCUGGGAAUAGCCGUCGGAAACGAGGGCUAAUACCGAAUGUGGCGAACGACCGGUUGGUCGCUCGCUAAAGGUGGCCUCUUCUAUGCUGCCGGGUUGGGAUCGGCCCGCGUCCCAUUAGCUAGUUGGUGAGGUAACGGCUCACCCAAGGCACGAUGGGUAACCGGGCUGAGAAGGUUGUCGGCCACCCUGGCCCUGAGACAAGGGCCAGUCCCCCAUGGGAGGCGCAGGCGGGAAUAGUUCACAAUUGGGCGAAAAGCCUGAUGACGCGACGCCGCGUGAGCGAAGAAGACCUUCGGGUUGUAAAGCUCUGUCAGGAGGGAAGAAGGCUCUACGGGUUAAUAGCCCGUGGAAUUGACGGUACCUCCAGAGGAAGCCCCGGCUAAAUACGUGCCAGCAGCCGCGGUAAUACGUAUGGGGCAAGCGUUGUCCGGAUUUACUGGGCGUAAAGGGCGCGUAAGGCGGGUUGUUAAGUCGAAGGUGAAAUCCUCGGGCUCAACUCGAGAAUUGCCUUCGAUACU